AUGACAUCUACUCCAGAGACACUGUUAGAAGAAAUAGAAGCUAAAAAUAGAGAAUUAAUAGCUAAAAAGACAACCCCACUUUUGAGCUUCCUGAAAAACAAGCAGAGAAUGAGAGAAGAGAAAAGGGAAGAAAGAAGGAGGCGAGAAAUAGAACGGAAAAGGCAAAGAGAAGAAGAGAGAAGAAAAUGGAAAGAAGAAGAGAAACGUAAAAGAAAAGAUAUAGAAAAGCUGAAGAAGAUAGAUAGAGUUCCAGAAAGGGACAAAUUAAAGGAUGAACCAAAGAUUAAGGACCGCCCGGCAAUGCAGCUUUACCAACCAGGAGCUCGAAGCCGAAAUCGACUGUGUGCCCCUGAUGACAGCACCAAGUCUGGAGAUUCUGCAGUAGAAAAAAAGCAGGAAAGUGGUAUUAGCCAUAGAAAAGAAGGAGGAGAGGAGUGAUAGAUUAGAAUGGCUGUAGGUGUCCUGACUGUCUAGGCAGCCAAAGAGCACGUAUUACGCACUCCAGAAGUGCCUUCAGGGCAAAGGAAUAAAGAAAGAGAAAGGGUCGCUGUACCGGUGGGAUACACUGCAGAGGAGUAUGUUUUGUGUCAAAGCGGGAAUUUAAUUGCAAGCUCAGAAUUGGAAGUACAAUUUCAUUGUUUUUGCAGUUUCUCCAAAUUAAUUUUACAGUGUCAGAAAAAGAUGAUGGCGAGGAUAUGCACUGCCAUUUGCAGGCAGGAAAUGUCAAGUGAGGACUUAAUUUUGUAUGACUAGAAAAAAGGCUGGCUCUAAAAAUCAAAAGGUGUUAUUAAUCCUGGAUUGAAUAUUCUUGGUUUGGGUGGAGCAGAGUCACUUUGAAGUCUUGUUAUUUUGCAUUGUUAGUGAUAACUGUUGACUUUGUGUAGUGUAGAAGCAAUAAGCAUGUAAUUUUGUUACAAGUAUAGUGAAAGGUAUAACAGAUUUUCGCUGAUGCGGAAAUUUAAAUAGUCAUGUUAUGUCUAUAUCCCGUGUCCCAAAAUUUUAGGAUUAGUUUUAUCCUUUUGUUUGCUUACAUGAGCUUAGCAUCAGUAAUAUUUUUAAACCGCUCAUUUUGCCUUUAGCAUUUUUUCUACUAAUAUGUAAAACGUAGUCCCUAUUUGGUUCUUGACAAUCCAGUCCUUGUUUUUAUCUUAAGUCUCAUGAUCUGAGAUGAGUGCAUACUCUCUCCAGGAAGGAAACUGCACCGAUAUCUGUUCCUCUAAAAUAACGGCUUUAGUCUUCACUUGUUUUGUAUUGUUGUCAAUAAAUACCAAUAGCACUGAAGUAUGAAGCUAAGUGUGUUUAUAUCUGUGUGGUUCUGGGGAUCAAACUCAGGAUCACGUGGAUGCUAAGAAUGCCCUGUACCACUUAUCUGCAUCCCCAGCUCC
rnacentral:lncRNA from 1 species